rnacentral:rRNA from 1 species
GAUGAACGCUGGCGGCGUGCCUAAUACAUGCAAGUCGAGCGCACGGACGAGAAGCUUGCUUCUCUGAUGUUAGCGGCGGACGGGUGAGUAACACGUGGAUAACCUACCUAUAAGACUGGGAUAACUUCGGGAAACCGGAGCUAAUACCGGAUAAUAUUUUGAACCGCAUGGUUCAAAAGUGAAAGACGGUCUUGCUGUCACUUAUAGAUGGAUCCGCGCUGCAUUAGCUAGUUGGUAAGGUAACGGCUUACCAAGGCAACGAUGCAUAGCCGACCUGAGAGGGUGAUCGGCCACACGGGAACUGAGACAGGGUCAAGACUCCUACGGGAGGCAGCAGUAGGGAAUCUUCCGCAAUGGGCGAAAGCCUGACGGAGCAACGCCGCGGGGGGGAUGAAGGUCUUCGGAUCGUAAAACUCUGUUAUUAGGGAAGAACAUAUGUGUAAGUAACUGUUCACAUCUUGACGGUACCUAAUCAGAAAGCCACGGCUAACUACGUG